ACGCUGGCGGCAGGCUUAACACAUGCAAGUCGAGCGCCCCGCAAGGGGAGCGGCAGACGGGUGAGUAACGCGUGGGAACGUACCCUUUACUACGGAAUAACGCAGGGAAACUUGUGCUAAUACCGUAUGUGCCCUUCGGGGGAAAGAUUUAUCGGUAAGGGAUCGGCCCGCGUUGGAUUAGCUAGUUGGUGGGGUAAAGGCCUACCAAGGCGACGAUCCAUAGCUGGUCUGAGAGGAUGAUCAGCCACAUUGGGACUGAGACACGGCCCAAACUCCUACGGGAGGCAGCAGUGGGGAAUAUUGGACAGUGGGCGCAAGCCUGAUCCAGCCAUGCCGCGUGAGUGAUGAAGGCCCUAGGGUUGUAAAGCUCUUUCACCGGAGAAGAUAAUGACG
rnacentral:rRNA from 1 species